rnacentral:rRNA from 1 species
UACGUAGGUGGCAAGCGUUGUCCGGAUUUACUGGGCGUAAAGAGCGCGCAGGCGGUCGUUCAAGUCGAGUGUGAAAGCCCCCGGCUCAACUGGGGAGGGUCACUCGAUACUGAUCGACUUGAAGGCAGAAGAGGGAAGCGGAAUUCCCGGUGUAGUGGUGAAAUGCGUAGAUAUCGGGAGGAACACCAGUGGCGAAGGCGGCUUUCUGGUCUGCUCUUGACGCUGAGGCGCGAAGGCGUGGGGAGCGAACAGG